CAGCUUUUAUGGGUCCCAUGACCCAGUCUUCCUAGUGAAUCAUGGAACUUGAGGGUGGUAUUGGGACCUUCAGACCACACACUCUGGCUGAAGAGUACAAGCCCCUUGACAGAGCAAGUCCACUGCUGGAUGGAUGGCAUAGAGAAACUCCCACACUUUGUAAUAGCAAAACAUGGGACACAACCCAGUGCAAUCAAAUAGAAAGUCAUAGAAAUGGUUUAUUCCAGCCAGCCAGAUCUAAAAGACCAGCCAUUGGAAGAGCCCAAACUGGAACUUUUCACAGACAGUAGUAGCUUCACGGAUCAAGGAGUUUACUUCUAGCAGGUCGACCUAUCCAUCUGACGUGUUCCUGCAUACUUUUCACCCUCGCGAUUGAGUUCUCCUAAAGACUUGGAGAGAACAGGGACCUGAGAACCAAU
rnacentral:lncRNA from 1 species